UUGCAGCCACAUCACGUUGAAAUACCGGUUCCCGUACGAUCACAGAUGUUAAGCAACGCCCAACCUGGUCAGUACCUCGAUGGGUGACCGCUGGAGAAUACCAGGUACUGUAAG